UGAGGGAAAGUUGCAAAGAACUUUGAAGAGAGAGUUCAAGAGUACGUGAAACUGCUCAGAGGUAAACGGGUGGGCCCUCGAAAUCCCGCUGCGGGGGGAUUCAGUCGGGAGGCCGGAUGAAUAGACGGGGUCGGCGACAUCCGACGGACGACCAUCCGCGGGACUGGUUGUCCCGUCCCGUCUCGGCAGCCCGACGCAGUUCCUCCCGCACGAAGGACGCCGCAGCCGGUCGGGUACGUUAAGAGUCGGCCGUGAGGACCGGGCCGACGGCAGGUGACGGGAGGCUCGACCUAGCGUGAGUCCAUCCCGUUGUUAGCCUGGCCCGUCUCUGGCGCGACACCCGACCGAGGAAACUUUACUGUCCGCGCACUAACGAACAGUCAGUAGCGAAAGUCGAGCAGGCACGAUCGACGAGGUCGAAUUGACGGAACCACCUCGGUUAGGUGGCCCGUUGCCGAGUCGGUCGAGUCGCCUCUCGAAUGUCGCGGUUCGUGCGGCAGAAGGCUUGCGGCGAGUAGGUCGGUCACCCACCCGUCCCGUCUUGAAACACGGACCAAGGAGUCUAACAUGUGCGCAAGUCGCGGGGUCUUGAACAGGCCCGACGGCGCAAUGAAAGUGGUGGAUCGAGGACUCGUUCCUCGGCGUGUUGGGAUCCCCGCGACCAGUUCGCGGGGCGCACCAACGGCCCGUCCCGUCGGAUUCGUCCGGUGGGCCGGAGUCGGAGCGCACACGUUGGGACCCGAAAGAUGGUGAACUAUGCCCGGGCAGAACGAAGCCGGGGGAAACCCUGGUGGAGGUUCGCAGCGGUUCUGACGUGCAAUCGAUCGCAGA
rnacentral:rRNA from 1 species